rnacentral:rRNA from 1 species
UACGAAGGGGGGCUAGCGUUGUUCGGAAUUACUGGGCGUAAAGCGCACUAGGCGGACAUUUAAGUUGGAGGUGAAAGCCUUGGGCUCAACCCAAGAAUUGCCUUUGAUACUGGAUGUCUCGAGACCGGGAGAGGUGAGUGGAAUUCCGAGUGUAGAGGUGAAAUUCGUAGAUAUUCGGAAGAACACCAGUGGCGAAGGCGGCUCACUGGCCCGGUUCUGACGCUGAGGUGCGAAAGCGUGGGGAGCAAACAGG